rnacentral:misc_RNA from 1 species
CCAAAGGGCCAAUCAAUCUGCAGCAAAAGUUCCUGAAACGGUCCGCAGAUGAGUUGGAGACAGGAAAUCCCAUUGAUAAUUUCGAGCAGCCAGUUAAGCUACAAUGUACCGCUCAGCAACACGGAACAAACCAGAAUGAGGGUCUCACAAAGUUUUCGGUGGAAAUUGUCCAGCAGCUGGAGUUUACAACGUCAGCAGCGAAUUCUCAGCCCCAACAAAUUAGCACCAAUGUUACGGUUAAAACACAUGCGAAUGCGAGUGUGAAGAGCGACAUUUCGUCGCCCAAAGCCGCCACUCCUGGUACGCCUGGACAUGCAUCCAAAGCGAAUAUUGGGCUCGAUGUUGGCACUCUUGUUGAAUGUGUUAAGCAGGUAAGUUUGGGUUUGAGUUGAGGGUGACCAG